UUCCUGGGUACCUCAAAGGCGGGGCCUCCAGGCUUCUCUCCCAGCAUCCAGGAAUAAACCGUCUGAUGGUCUGAAUAGGAGAUUCAUCUUUGCACCAUCUCUGAUUCCAUAAAUCCUGCUGAUGGUUCUUCUCCAUGAAUGUGGUUUCUGGCAGAGGGACUCUCUGCAAUCUCCACGUGAAGAGUCAGGAAAGCAUAGAGAAAAGUUCCUGGUGACCUCCAGCCUAGAGCCCAUGAAAGACAAGACUUGGGAAAAUAUCUAUAGAAUAAUUUGAAGAGUUGUAUGAAGUACUUCUGAGAUAGGACUACAACAUUACAAAACAGUGCCUGUGCCACAAAAACCUAAGUGCCCAUGUGUCCUCACGUCCUUCUGUGUGUAACAUGGGCUUGGCUUCCUGUAGGCCACAGUGGUGGCUAACUUCUGGUGAGAACUUUCUAGGUGUCAGGCUCUGGAAAGGACCCCGGCAGGGGGCAGAGACAGUACCCCAGCUGCCCAAUUCCCCCUGGAACCACUGCUUCGAGGCCUCUCUGAGAUGCCGGCAUCCUGGGACCCCACUGCAUUCUGAAGCAGCCUUCACCUUCCUCCACUCCUGAUUCAGUCUAAGGAAGAGCCAAAAACUUAGGAAAAACUUCUGCUUGGAGCCAAUCUCCUCCAAGAGAAAUUCUAAAAUACCCUGGAAGCAGCAACUUUCUUAUCUAAACAGAUGAUAGCAAAUUCUUUUCCUUCCCUGGCAGUGAUCUCUGUUGGGGAGGAAGUCAGGCAGCAUGGAUGAGGCUGGGUACAUGACCAGCUGUCCCACUUGAGAGCUCAUUUGGAUAGAUACUUGGGCCUCUCCACCAAUGAUGCUGGUAAUCCCUGAAAGAUCUGUUCCAUCCUCAUCUGAGCAAGAGGCUUCCUCACCAUUUGCUCACAUCACACAAACACACUACAAAGAACAUGGCCCCAAAGAGGGAAGGGAUGCCCCGUAUGUGUUAAUAGGCUCACCAUUGAUUUUUCUCUACACUUGAGACUCCUUAGGACAACUUGGCAUCUAAAGUUCUAAGGUCGGAAGUUAACCUCUUGACUCUUCCAUAAGGAAACAUUCAUUCCUUUGGAAUAGAGAUGCACCAAAUAUUCAGUUUAAGCAAAAGCCUUGAAAUGCAUGACAACUUGGGGUGCCUGGGUUGCUCAGUUGAUUGAGCAUCUGACUCUUGAUUUGGGAUCAGGGCACGAUCUCAGGGUCCUGGAAUUGAGCCCCUCGAUAGGCUCCACAGUGGAAGAAAAUCUGCACUCAGCAGAAAAUCCGCCUGAGGAUUCUCUCCCUCUCCCUCCGCCCCUCCCCCAGCUCACAUGCUGUCUCUUGCUCUCCCUCUAAAAUAAAUAAAUAAAUGUUUUUAAAAAAUGCACAAUAAAUAGCAAGCAUGUGUUUGUUAAAAACAAAUUCAUUCCAUGAUUUCUGAUCCUUAUGAGAUUUUGAUGAUCUCAUGACAUUUGAUUCUUUUGUCAGAAAUAAGAGAGAAGGACUCAGAACAACAAAUGUAAUGAUGGGUAACAGUGUCUUUUAA